rnacentral:sRNA from 1 species
AUAUAAAAAACAUGAACCAGCUAUAAAUAACAUGCAAAAUAUGAACAAACCUCUUGUUUCUUUUAAAAACACUAGACGGACGAAGCAGAAUCCACAGAGUUUGAGGAAAUUCCCAGAUCUCGCCUUAUCUAACUUCAUGUAGAGAGAUUAUGAAAAAAUUGAGGGUUAGUAGAGAAUAAAUAAAAAAAAAUCAAAACUUAGAUCUGGACACAAACGGUGAGAACCCUAUGCAGGAUACUUAUGUAAGUAUACAUGGGAAGACAUAGAAGAAGAUAGAGAUAGAGGGGAAAAAGAACCAAACUUUAGAUCUGGCCACAAUCGUUAAUUUCUAUGCAAUUGAAGUAUAAAGAGGAAGAAAUAGAAGAAGAUCGGCAAUAAAUAAACGAAAAUCAAUGGCUUACCUUACCAGAUUCGUCGGCAAGGGGAGGAUCAGAAAUUAAUACUUGGAUUGCUAACGGCGACAAGAACGAGAAGAAGGUUUCAAGGAGACAAUCAAGUUCUGGGCUUGAUUGAAGAAGAUGAGAGUAACCGACGGUGAACGCAAUCGCCAACGACGGCGCUAGAUUUUGGGAGGAUAUUUUGCGGUGUGAAGAAAAAACAA